UGUGUUGCAUUUUGACCUAUUAUCCAAGUGAUUUACUUUUCCAGUAUUAUUUAAUCACCCUAUCAUCCAAUUUUUAAGAUGAAAUUACGGUGUUUACAAAACCAACCAAACCGAAAGUGAAACUGGAUGCAUCACGUUUCGCGAUGUAAACAUUAAAUAUUUGUUCAGUUUGACGAAGCGAAUCGAUAAUAGACGUUGGAAUAUGUAUGCAAUACAGACUAUCAUUGCCGAUUGUAGUACUGGCUAAAAAAUACCUUUUAUGACAGGUAUACUGGAUUAUGAAAGACUGAUAAACAUAAAAUUGACAACUCAUCUCCCCAACGAUACUUUGUGUGGCUCAUUCUCAGAACAAACCCAUAGUCAGUGAGAAAACUACAGUGUAAAAAGACCACUUGAUUGUGACAAUUAUGGCUGACCAUAAAAAUGAAUUGGAUACUGUUUUAAGCUUCACUCUACUUUGUCUGAAAAUAAAAGUCCUAAAUGAUGUAAUAGAAAAUACAUAUUUAAUUUUUAGUUUUACAAGGAUAUAUAUAAACAUACAUAUAUUAUAAUAUCUUUUUAUCGAUGGUCAAUCAAUUUAAGUUUAACUAAUAUAUACAUACACAUUUUAUACAUGUGUAUGCUUUGAUUUUUUUCUAUUGAAGCCAAAUUAAUAUCCCAUUAGAUAGAUAGAUAAUAUCACAGCAGUAUUCCUAUUUUGUCUGCAAGUACUGCAGAAAUCAUGGAUUAUUAUUUUACUGAGUCAGCCUUAAUCUUUAUAUUAUAAUUGUUAAAACAGAUUAAGAUGUGCAUUAUACAAUUGAGGAUGCAUCAAGAUUAAAAAAUGGUACAUGUAUAAAUUAAUAAAGAAUCAAUAACAAUCAGAAACUGUGCAUUUUUUUCAGUAUUGUGUGAAAGGAUUUGAAGUAAUGAUGUGUUUUUGAAAUAUGAUUUAUGUGAAUUUGAAUAAAUAUAUAAAAUUUA